UUAAUAUUACCUGUGAUGAUAAAUGAUUAAUAUAGUAUUACUGUUAAUUAAUUGAGUUAAUUAGUAAUUUAGCAUUAGUUUGUAAUUAAAUGAUCAAUUACAUUUCUCAGUAUGCUUAAUAUUUUUAAAACGUUUGCAGCUCAUAACUGACAUGUUAACAAAGCUCAUGUUCAGAUGAAUUUUAGGCUAUCUGAACAGAGAAAAGCACACACAGGGCUAUGUACCAAAGAAGGUGGAUAUCAUCAAGGAGGACCUGGACAUUUCUAAAACAACCUGGUCUAUAUUUGGAGAUCAUCGGGCAUCCACGAUAUGAACUUGGGUGCAAUCCAGAAAAACUGGCACACUAUUAUGCGAUAAGUGAGCGAACUACAGCGUCUAGAAAUUCACUAAAGGACUAUUUAUCUACUAGAAGAUACAAGAAUGUCAAUGAUUACUUUAUAAUCAUAUUCAGUGACUAAAAGAUGCUAAUUAUAACUUGUAAUAAUCUGGAUCGCAGCCUGAGAAUUUGUCAAGGGGACAAAUUUUUGUUUCGAUUUUUCAAGGAUUUUUUGGAAGUGCCAGAUAAACUCCAUCAAAAUUACCUUAUCAAACUCAAAGAUUCUUUAAAUUAGAAAAAUCGUAGAGAAAAUACCUAGAGUAGUUGCUUCAUCCGCAUAAAAACAUGCAAUCAGUCAUCCAGUCCUUUCUUAAGUGCGAUACAUUUAAGUCCAAACUGUGAAGAUAUAUUUUUAUGAAACUGGUGAACACGGUCAAGCUUUGCAACAGUAGAUUUCAUCGUGCCGAGAUUGAUCUUGAGCUUAAAGUGUGUAUGCCUAAAUUUUGGAAUACUGAAUGAUUCUGAAUACUUACAGAACUCAAGAAUGCAUUGAAUUUUUAGUUUAAAUUUCUUGGACAGUAGUCAGUCCAAAACUUUUUGAAAGGAAUCCAUAAUUCAUUUAAAAGAAAAUCUAUAUUCUUUUCCAAAUGAAAUUUACAAAAUCCAGGAGGAGAACCAAAAAUAUGCAGAACAUUACACUGAAAGUCUUCAGAAGUUUAUGCCUGUUUACAAAAUCACUGUAAACAACUUCUUCAUGUUUUAUAACAACAAUGCAUCACAGUAACAGUCAGUUUAGAAAACUAAAAAGAAUAAAUAACAAGCAGAAUUUGUUAUGCCUAUUUAUAUUGUUUUCCUUUUACACCCAUCUUUCAGAUUAAAGUGCUAGAAAAGCUCUUAUGUUUGACACUUCCUAUUUCUUUCAUUUCCCGAAUGAAAAGUGACAUUUAUUUAAGUAAAAGAAACCGGUCUUUCGAUGCGUUUUUCUCCCAAUCGUACUCCUCCUGGUGACCACACCUUCGUUCAUUUAAUCGCUAUGUUUAUACUGACGCAUGAGGCGUCUGAAAUAGGUGGGGAAACAAGCAGACGUAAAAAAGAACGAUUGGUUCAACUUCCCUUAUUGUGACACCAGGCUGUUUGGAAGUAGACCUCGAACCCGACGACCUUUCUUUCAUUUUCGAAUGUUCUAAGGAAGCAACAGAGGAGGGUGGGCGAUUGUACAGGGAUCCAAGUUGAUAGGAAUAGGUUGAUGAAUUGAAAAGUUGUUUUAGUUUCUCUUUUUGUCUGUUUCUUGAUGGAACGGUUACCGACAAAGUAACAUUUCAUCACAGCCCAGGUAGAAGCAAAUGAGUUAAAGCUGCUUUCUUAUACAUUUAGAAGGGGAAAGAAAAUUUUGUACUAGUAGCAUCAUAAAAAAAGUUAAAAGUAGAUUUGUUAACAUAUUAGGUAUAUGCAUUUAUUUUAUAUAUAUUUAGUAAACACAUUUAAUUAACUAACUAUAAAAUAAUCGUGUAUGUUUAUUUUGAAGUCCACCGAUAUUUGACCCAGGACUUUAUAAAGGGGGUCUUUUUCGUAGUUGUAGAAGAAAACCUUUUUUGGGGAAAGGAGUAAAACAAAAUUACAUCUGCAAUACUAUAGAUGCUCUUUAAAGAAUUUCAUUUAUAUAUAUGUAAUAAAAAUGAAGCUGCGUAUUAAAGGCCGUAAAAAUAUUUUCAAACAAUACUUGAUUUACAUUUUCUAAACAAAAUUAUUUAAAUGUUUUUAAUAUUCUUCCGUGUUCUUCUCUUUUUAUGGUUAUUCUUGUAACAAAUCAGUGCUUUGCCAGUCAUACGUGAAUUCUUUCUAGAUCUGGAUCCAAGUUCAUAGCUUGUGUUUUCAA